rnacentral:rRNA from 1 species
UGCCAGACUCCUACGGGAGGCAGCAGUCGGGAAUAUUGCGCAAUGGAGGAAACUCUGACGCAGUGACGCCGCGUAUAGGAAGAAGGUUUUCGGAUUGUAAACUAUUGUCGUUAGGGAAGAUAAAAGACAGUACCUAAGGAGGAAGCUCCGGCUAACUACGUGCCAGCAGCCGCGGUAAUACGGAGGAUGCGAGCGUUAUCCGGAUUUAUUGGGUUUAAAGGGUGCGUAGGCGGACUGUUAAGUCAGCGGUAAAAGCCCGGGGCCCAACCCGGGCGAGCCGUUGAAACUGGCUGUCUUGAGAUGUCGAGAGGUAUGCGGAAUGCGCAGUGUAGCGGUGAAAUGCUUAGAUAUUGCGCAGAACUCCGAUUGCGAAGGCAGCAUACCGGCGGCGAUCUGACGCUGAGGCACGAAAGCGUGGGUAUCGAACAGGAUUAGAUACCCUUGUAU